AGUAAUCGUGGAUCAGCAUAGCCACGGAUGAAUAACGUUCCCGGGCCUUGUAUCACACCGCCCCGUCACAACCACGAGAGUUUGUAAACACCCGGAAGUCGGUAGGGUAACCUUUUAUGGAGCCAGCCGUCCGAAGGAUGGGACAGAUAAUUGGGGGUAAGUUCGUAACAAGGUAGCCGUAUCGGAAGGUGCGGCUGGAUCACCUCCUUUCUAAAGGAA
rnacentral:rRNA from 1 species